rnacentral:tRNA from 1 species
GCCGGGGUGGCGGAAUUGGCAGACGCAGCGGACUUAAAAUCCGCCGGAGUUAAAUCCUUGUGGGUUCGAGUCCCACCCUCGGCACCA